rnacentral:rRNA from 1 species
UGGGGAAUCUUGCGCAAUGGGCGAAAGCCUGACGCAGCAACGCCGCGUGAGGGAAGAAGGCCCUCGGGUUGUAAACCUCUUUCAGAGGGGACGAAGCUUCCGGGGUGAAUAGCCCACGGGGUGACGGUACCCUCAGAAGAAGCCCCGGCUAACUACGUGCCAGCAGCCGCGGUAAUACGUAGGGGGCAAGCGUUGUCCGGAAUCAUUGGGCGUAAAGCGCGUGUAGGCGGCUUGGUAAGUCUGGUGUGAAAUCUCGGGGCUCAACCCCGAGCGUGCACUGGAUACUGCCUAGCUUGAGUCCGGGAGGGGAGAGCGGAAUUCCUAGUGUAGCGGUGAAAUGCGCAGAUAUUAGGAAGAACACCGGUGGCGAAGGCGGCUCUCUGGAACGGUACUGACGCUGAGACGCGAAAGCGUGGGGAGCAAACAG